rnacentral:rRNA from 1 species
CACGUAGGGUGCGAGCGUUGUCCGGAAUUAUUGGGCGUAAAGAGCUCGUAGGCGGUGUGUCGCGUCGGCCGUGAAAACCUGCAGCUUAACUGUGGGCUUGCGGUCGAUACGGGCAUCACUGGAGUUCGGCAGGGGAGACUGGAAUUCCUGGUGUAGCGGUGAAAUGCGUAGAGAUCCGGAGGAACACCGAAGGCGAAGGCAGUGUCCUGGCGCGUAACUGACGCUGAGGUGCGAAAGCCAGGGGAGCGAACGGG